AUGGCGCCCUCUCGCAUCCUCCUCCUAGCCGCGAUCCUCCUGGCCCUGGCUUCUGUCCAGGUGCGUGGCCAGAGCAUGCCGCCUUCACCGGCAAUGGCACCGGCAUCAUCCGCUGGCGGUGGCAAGUGCAUGUUGAAUGACGCAGCUGCGCUUGGAGUGUGUCUUAACCUUCAAUCGGGCAGGAUAAGCCUGUCCGAGAAGAACCGGUGCUGCCAUCGGAUCCAGGGGAUGCAGAGCGCCGCCGACUGUCUGUGCUUGGCCUUCAAGCUGGCUGGUGGCCUUGUCGGCGCCAAUGUUGCCGAUGGCGUCAAUUCCGUGCUGUAG
rnacentral:rRNA from 1 species